rnacentral:rRNA from 1 species
UGGCGAACGGGUGAGUAAUGCAUCGGAACGUGCCCAGUCGUGGGGGAUAACUGCUCGAAAGAGCAGCUAAUACCGCAUACGACCUGAGGGUGAAAGCGGGGGACCGUAAGGCCUCGCGCGAUUGGAGCGGCCGAUGUCAGAUUAGCUAGUUGGUGGGGUAAAGGCCUACCAAGGCAACGAUCUGUAGUUGGUCUGAGAGGACGACCAGCCACACUGGGACUGAGACACGGCCCAGACUCCUACGGGAGGCAGCAGUGGGGAAUUUUGGACAAUGGGCGCAAGCCUGAUCCAGCAAUGCCGCGUGCAGGAAGAAGGCCUUCGGGUUGUAAACUGCUUUUGUCAGGGAAGAAAUCUUCUGGGCUAAUACCCCGGGAGGAUGACGGUACCUGAAGAAUAAGCACCGGCUAACUACGUGCC